UGCGUAGGCGGAUAUAUAAGUUAGAUGUGAAAUACCCGAGCUUAACUUGGGAGGUGCAUUUAAGACUGUAUGUCUAGAGUUUGUGAGAGGGUGGUAGAAUUCCAAGUGUAGCAGUGAAAUGCGUAGAGAUUUGGAGGAAUACCGAUGGCGAAGGCAGCCACCUGGCAUAGAACUGACGCUGAGGUACGAAAGCGUGGGUAGCAAACAGGAUUAGAUACCCUGGUAGUCCACGCCCUAAACGAUGUUUACUUGCUGUUGGGAGCGAUCUUGGUAGCGAAGCUAACGCGAGAAGUAAACCGCCUGGGGAGUACGGUCGCAAGAUUAAA
rnacentral:rRNA from 1 species